rnacentral:rRNA from 1 species
GACGAACGCUGGCGGCGUGCUUAACACAUGCAAGUCGAACGGAAAGGCCCUGCUUUUGUGUGGUUCUCGAGUGGCGAACGGGUGAGUAACACGUGAGUAACCUGCCCUUGACUUUGGGAUAACUUCAGGAAACUGGGGUUACUACCGGAUCGGAGCUCCUGCUGCAUGGUGGGGGUUGGAAAGUUUCGGCGGUCGGGGAUGGACUCGCGGCUUAUCAGCUUGUUGGUGGGGUAGUGGCUUACCAAGGCUUUGACGGGUAGCCGGCCUGAGAGGGUGACCGGCCACAUUGGGACUGAGAUACGGCCCAGACUCCUACGGGAGGCAGCAGUGGGGAAUAUUGCACAAUGGGCGGAAGCCUGAUGCAGCAACGCCGCGUGCGGGAUGACGGCCUUCGGGUUGUAAACCGCUUUCGCCUGUGACGAAGCGUGAGUGACGGUAAUGGGUAAAGAAGCACCGGCUAACUACGUG